rnacentral:rRNA from 1 species
CGUGAGGAAGGCAGACCCAGGGAACUGAAACAUCUAAGUACCUGGAGGAAGAGAAAGAAAAAUCGAUUUCCUGAGUAGCGGCGAGCGAAACGGAAAGAGCCCAAACCAAGAAGCUUGCUUCUUGGGGUUGUAGGACACUCUAUACGGAGUUACAAAAGAAAGUUAUAAAUGAAGCGGUCUGGAAAGGCCCGCCAAAGACGGUAACAGCCCGGUAGUUGAAAUAGCUUUCCCUCCAGAGUGGAUCCUGAGUACGGCGGAACACGUGAAAUUCCGUCGGAAUCCGGGAGGACCAUCUCCCAAGGCUAAAUACUCCCUAGUGACCGAUAGUGAACCAGUACCGUGAGGGAAAG